GGUGCUGUGGCUCAAGUGGUAGAGUGCUAGCCUUUUGAGCUGAAGAGCUGAGGGACAGCACCC
rnacentral:tRNA from 1 species